GCUCAGUGGUCUAGUGGUUAAGGCCCCGGCUCGAGACUGGUUGGUCCUGAGUUCGAAUCUCGCGAGUGA
rnacentral:tRNA from 1 species